UGAACUUGGAGGUAAAUCUUCUGAGAACUGCCAACAUGUGAAUAAAUUUGAAAGUGGAUCUUUGACACCCAAGUGGGGUCUUCCUAUUAAACUUCAGCCCUGGAAAACAGCUUGACUGCAACCUCCUUAGAGAUCAAAGGGCACUCAGGGACUGAAUUCAGCCAAAAACCUGAAUGAGCUUGGAAGCAAUGCAUCCAGAAUGUCUCCAGGAGGAAUGAAGUCCUGCUGACACCUUCGUUUUGGCCUUGUGAAACCCAGAGCAGAGGAAUCAGUCCAGCCAACUGGGACCGUGGAUCUAAAAGGUACUGUCAGCUGAGGAUGUGAUGCUUGGAGCUGCAGUUGCCAUUUUGUGACCAUGUGGUUAUAAGCAUGAGGGUGACAGAGCAGGAAAAAAAAAAAAAAAAAGAGGCCAGCUUCCUAAUGACAUUGCUAAACUGCUAGACUGACUCUGCGGAUGCUUGCUUUCAAAUUUCUAUUUUCGUACACAAUAACUGUUCUU
ensembl:lncRNA